rnacentral:rRNA from 1 species
UACGUAGGCAGCAAGCGUUGUUCGGAGUUACUGGGCGUAAAGGGUGCGUAGGCGGGGCUUUAAGUCAGGGGGGAAAUCCUGGAGCUCAACUCCAGAACUGCCUUUGAUACUGAAGAUCUUGAGUUCGGGAGAGGUGAGUGGAACUGCGAGUGUAGAGGUGAAAUUCGUAGAUAUUCGCAAGAACACCAGUGGCGAAGGCGGCUCACUGGCCCGAUACUGACGCUGAGGCACGAAAGCGUGGGGAGCAAACAGG